rfam:Lingula anatina scaffold138, whole genome shotgun sequence.
UGGCUGGUCAAAGUGGUUGUGACAGGGUGUGCUAGCUUUCCUAUCACAGCCUGCUUUGAUGAGCUAUA